rnacentral:rRNA from 1 species
CAGUCGCCGCGGGAAUACGGAGGGGGCUAGCGUUGUUCGGAAUUACUGGGCGUAAAGCGCGCGUAGGCGGCUUGGUAAGUUAGAGGUGAAAGCCUGGGGCUCAACCCCAGAAUUGCCUUUAAGACUGCCGAGCUAGUAGGUGAGAGAGGUAAGUGGAAUUCCGAGUGUAGAGGUGAAAUUCGUAGAUAUUCGGAAGAACACCAGUGGCGAAGGCGGCUUACUGGCUCAUUCUAGACGCUGAGGUGCGAAAGCGUGGGGAGCAAACAGGAUUAGAUACCCGAGUAGUCCCUGUCUCUUAUAC